ensembl:lncRNA
AAAUGUAAAGUCCAGCACGUUUCAGAUAAAGAAAUGGAGCAACCCAUAACUGUUGCAUUCCCUUUUGCAGUGUUACUGAUAUCGUGUUGAAUGUUAAAGGAUACAGAGGCUUCCAGAGCUCAUCAGAAGACCUGCCAAGCAGCUGCAGGAGGAAUUCUGAUGGAGGAAACUUUCAAGCAGUGCAGCACAGUAUCCAGGAGGGAGACUCACCAACCCCAAAUCUGAUCAGCUCCCAAAUGCUGAGGUAGCUCCCUGUUUAGCUGGCCAUCUAACAAACCAAGAGGGAGAUUAAACCCUCUGAGUAUCCUAAGACAGCUUCCUCAUGGUGGUUCACACAACUGACAGUGUCAAGCACAGCUACAGCUUUAUCUAGAAAGUACAAAUUACAUUAUAGUGUGCUAAAGUGAAGGAGAAAAAAGGACUGUUAGUCCUUUCUCUCCAGAAUUUAAAUAGCACCUGAAUAAGGUGAGUUAGGUAGCCUAUGACUUACCUCUCUGUUGUGUUCUACACCAGAUCCUCUUUCUACUGCUUGGACUUCAAACCUCCUGCAUCUUAUUUGCCAGGCUACUCCUCCAAUCUAUUGUUGGCCUGGCUGGCAUGGUGUAUAGCAGUAAUACUAUACACUGUGUAUAGUAGUAAAACAUAGCCAAUAUAGCUGCCAGUAUAGCUGUGUUGUAAGCAUGUUCAUAAGAAUAGUUUUAUAGGAUCAGAGCUCUUGCACUACAAAAAGCAUUCCUCCAGCUGAUUUAAAGAUCUUUGAUCUUCUCUUCAGAGGCUGAGAGAAGUUGGCAGAACAAUUCUGAGAAUGGUGACCGGCUGAAAAACUUCUUGCAGUGUCAGCCUUAAAAUGUUGCUGGUGUUUGGAACUGGUAAACUUGGCAUCUCUUGAAAAAGCUGAUGCAGUGUGUUUACUUCCAGAGAUCCUAAGGCACUAUUCAGAACAACAUGUGUGUUAUUUUGGCCAAAUUUCCAACCUAGUUUGUUCCCCUAUGUGAUUUACAUGUGGCUUCAACAGACAAUGUUCUUAAGUUGCUACAUUGAUAGGCAGUGUGGUUAUCUUGUUUAACAAAAUACCUGUGCUUUAAGUGGACCAUGCAUGCAUUACACUUUAGUACCAGGUAGCAAAGGCCUUCUAAUCUGGUCUCUUACAGCAAAUUAUUCUUGUUUGCUUUGUCAGAUAUCUGCUUACAACAGACAACUGGGUGUCUGUCUACACUCUAGCCUUUGCUUUACCAACUUUCUUAUCCUAAUUACUUUCAAUUUCACAUUCAGCAACUGAAGGGGAAAAGAAACUCAGAAAAGGCUAACACACAAUGUAUUUUCUACUUUCUCAUCCCUAAAACUGGACAGCUGGACAUUUACCAAGGCGGUAAAAUAUUGAUACUGCAGAGUUUACUGAGGAGUCCAUCUGGAAACAACAACAACAAAAAAAAAAACAACCCGUGUGGAUUUGGCAAAUUUCCCAGUCACUGCUGAAGAUGUGUGUUUCCAAAGUGAAAAACGUCCUCAGUCAAUACAUGAUUUUCCCCAUCAGAUGGUGCUCAAGGACAGAUUUAGUGGGCAUCUCAUUCUCUGUAGAACUUUUCUUUGCGACAUUAAGGAAGAAUCUCCUCCACAAGCUGAAGCUUGAUGGGCACUUUAGGCAGAGCCAGAAGUGCUACUGAAUUUGUUUCCCUUUUUCAGGGAAGUAAAAGAACAAGGAAGAGACAAACCUCAAACAUGAGACUUAAAUGAAGGCAAGAGCUGAAUGAGGUGGGCUACCUGGGACAUAGCCUAUAUCACUUGCUCUUCUCUUUGCUACUGAAAAUUUGAAUGCCCAGGGAAGCAGCUUCUGGAGGUGACAAGCUCUGGACCAUCAGCUGCAGAAAAGAGCCUG